rnacentral:rRNA from 1 species
AUACAGAGGGUGCGAGCGUUAAUCGGAAUUACUGGGCGUAAAGCGCGCGUAGGCGGCUUAUUAAGUCAGAUGUGAAAUCCCCGGGCUCAACCUGGGAACUGCAUCUGAUACUGGUAAGCUAGAGUUUUGGAGAGGGAAGUAGAAUUUCAGGUGUAGCGGUGAAAUGCAUAGAGAUCUGAAGGAACACCAGUGGCGAAGGCGACUCCCUGGACUCGAACUGACGCUGAGGUAUGAAAGCGUGGGUAGCAAACGGGAUUAGAAACCCUAGUAGUCC